CUCGGGGUGUCGGCGGCUCCUGGUUCACAGCGCCAGUUCUCACACCUCAGACCAGCCUAGACAUGGUGUGAUCCCUGGGCCUGUCCUGUUCCUCUGGCUGGAAGCUGCCCCUGGAUCCCUGGACUAGGUCUGGGUAACAGCUGAGAGAAGUUUGUGCCUGCWGUGGGGCUGGCAAGUGUCCUGGAAUGGAGUUAAAUGGAGGAUGGAUCCAGCACCUGGAAAACACCCCAAUAAUCCAGAUUUCCCCCCUGCACGUUCCCUGUAGCAGCCUGAAGAAAGUGGGUCCCAGUGCCUUUCCCUGUUGCAGGCAGGUCUGAAGGAGCUGCAGGCAGACACAGCCAUGAAAGCCAGGCCUAUUCUGCACAAACAACCCUGUGCUUCCUUCACUUCUUCUCCUGACAAUAAAACUGACUGGGCCAUUGCUUCACCUCUCUGGGCCCUCACAGGUGAUGGAGAGUUUUGUUUCUCUUAUUACAGGGUACUUUGCAUACCACAAAACUAUUUAAAGAUAUACUUUGUAGAGAGGAGCAGUUCUCUCUGUUAAAAACACUAAUGUGAAAUAGAGCCUACCUUCUCCCAGCAGUUCUGCAAUGCAAAAUUGUGAAUUUUUGUUCUUUUGGGUAUAGUAUAUUGAGAAUAGUGAAAAUCUUGCUGAACUGCAAAARAAUUCUGUCAUUUUAGCAAAACAUAUAUUUACUGUCAUCUACUUAGCAAAAAAUGCAUGCUUACCUUAUAUCUUAUCAUGUGCAUAUGACUCAGUAAUGGUAUAAUUUAUAUAGCAGUAAGAACCAUAUAAUUACUUCCCAUCUAAGUAUUAAUUAUAAUUGUGUCAAUCUUUGGAGUGUUGAAUGUUGAUUACAGUUGAAAAUUAUUCAGUAUUUACAGAAAAUCCAAGUGCAAUUUUAAUAAUUUGGAUGAUGCUUCCUUUUAAACACCAUUAUAUAUUUACUUUUCUCAGCUUUAUACAUCCUUUAGUGGGAAUAGAAAAUGAAGUCCAUUUUUUUUCAGUGUAG